rnacentral:rRNA from 1 species
GAUGAACGCUGGCGGCGUGCUUAACACAUGCAAGUCGAACGAAGCACCUUGAUUUGAUUCUUCGGAUGAAGAUCUUGGUGACUGAGUGGCGGACGGGUGAGUAACGCGUGGGUAACCUGCCUCAUACAGGGGGAUAACAGUUAGAAAUGACUGCUAAUACCGCAUAAGACCACAGCACCGCAUGGUGCAGGGGUAAAAACUCCGGUGGUAUGAGAUGGACCCGCGUCUGAUUAGGUAGUUGGUGGGGUAACGGCCUACCAAGCCGACGAUCAGUAGCCGACCUGAGAGGGUGACCGGCCACAUUGGGACUGAGACACGGCCCAAACUCCUACGGGAGGCAGCAGUGGGGAAUAUUGCACAAUGGGGGAAACCCUGAUGCAGCGACGCCGCGUGAGCGAUGAAGUAUUUCGGUAUGUAAAGCUCUAUCAGCAGGGAAGAAAAUGACGGUACCUGACUAAGAAGCACCGGCUAAAUACGUGCCAGCAGCCGCGGUAAUACGUAUGGUGCAAGCGUUAUCCGGAUUUACUGGGUGUAAAGGGAGCGUAGACGGAGUGGCAAGUCUGAUGUGAAAACCCGGGGCUCAACCCCGGGACUGCAUUGGAAACUGUCAAUCUGGAGUACCGGAGAGGUAAGCGGAAUUCCUAGUGUAGCGGUGAAAUGCGUAGAUAUUAGGAGGAACACCAGUGGCGAAGGCGGCUUACUGGACGGUAACUGACGUUGAGGCUCGAAAGCGUGGGGAGCAAACAGGAUUAGAUACCCUGGUAGUCCACGCCGUAAACGAU